rnacentral:rRNA from 1 species
GACAGAGGGUGCAAACGUUGUUCGGAAUUACUGGGCGUAAAGGGCGCGUAGGCGGCCCGUCAAGUCCCGUGUGAAAGCCCCCGGCUCAACCGGGGAACGGCGCGGGAAACUAGCAGGCUUGAGUUCGGGAGAGGGAAGCGGAAUUCCGGGUGUAGCGGUGAAAUGCGCAGAUAUCCGGAGGAACACCGGUGGCGAAGGCGGCUUCCUGGACCGACACUGACGCUGAGGCGCGAAAGCUAGGGGAGCAAACGGG